UCGCCGGUGGUGUAAUGGCGUAGAGCAUUCCCGCCCGGUUAGAGGGAGGUGCGGGUUCGAGUCCCGCCUGGCGCU
rnacentral:tRNA from 1 species